GCGGGAGUAGCUCAGCUGGUCCAGAGCACCGGGUUGUGGUCCCGGGUGUCGUGGGUUCGAAUCCCAUCUCUCGCCCCA
rnacentral:tRNA from 4 species